rnacentral:rRNA from 1 species
AGGUCAGGCGGGACCACCCGCUGAGCUUAAGCAUAUCAAUAAGCGGAGGAAAAGAAACUU